rnacentral:lncRNA from 1 species
UUUAAAAUCACACUUGACAUUUAAAUUAUGAGUUAUGACAUAUUAAACAAAAGAAACUUUUAUCAAAUUGAAUACUUGAUAUAUUAUAAGAAUUGCAUAAUUGAAGUUAUUGGUUUCAGCUUGUAUAUUUCUCUUCAAUUUUUGUGCAACUUAUCACACAUUUAUUAUAAUAUUUUCAAAGUUCUUGUACUUAAUUAGCAUGGGAUACACGAGCAACAU